rnacentral:rRNA from 1 species
UAACGGCGAGUGAAGAGGGAAGAGCCCAAGUUUGAAAGCUGGUGUUUGUAUUCAGACGUCCGCAUUGUAAACUCGAGAAGUGUUAUCCGUGCCGGACCAGGUUCAAGUCCCUUGGAAUAGGGCAUCAUAGAGGGUGAAAGUCCCGUGCUUGAUCUGGAACCCCCGGGGCUUUGUGAUGCGCUCUCAAAGAGUCGAGUUGUUUGGGAAUGCAGCUCAAAAUGGGUGGUAAAUGCCAUCUAAGGCUAAAUAUCGAGGAGAGACCGAUAGUGAACAAGUACCGUGAGGGAAAGAUGAAAAGAACUUUGGAAAGAGAGUUAAACAGUACGUGAAAUUGCCGGAAGGGAAGGGUAGGAAGUCAGACAUGCCUUUGCAGAUUCAGCCUUGUCUUUGGACUUGGUGCAUUUUUGUAAUGGCAGGCCAGCGUCGGUUUGUGUUGCUGGAUAUAGGCUUAGGGAAUGUGACUUUGUCUUCGGGCAAAGUGUUAUAGCCCUUUGCUGAGUACAGCGGUGUGGACCGAGGAACGCAGCGUACCCUUUAGGGCAGGCCUUCGGGCACCUUUAUGCUUAGGA